GUGGGGAAUAUUGGACAAUGGGGGCAACCCUGAUCCAGCCAUGCCGCGUGAGUGAUGACGGCCUUAGGGUUGUAAAGCUCUUUUCUCCGGGACGAUAAUGACGGUACCGGAGGAAUAAGCCCCGGCUAACUUCGUGCCAGCAGCCGCGGUAAUACGAAGGGGGCUAGCGUUGCUCGGAAUCACUGGGCGUAAAGGGCGCGUAGGCGGCUGAUUUAGUCGAGGGUGAAAGCCCGUGGCUCAACCACGGAAUGGCCUUCGAUACUGAUUGGCUUGAGACCGGAAGAGGACAGCGGAACUGCGAGUGUAGAGGUGAAAUUCGUAGAUAUUCGCAAGAACACCAGUGGCGAAGGCGGCUGUCUGGUCCGGUUCUGACGCUGAGGCGCGAAAGCGUGGGGAGCAAACAGGAUUAGAAACCCGAGUAGUCC
rnacentral:rRNA from 1 species